AUUAAUACCGCAUACGACCUUCGGGUGAAAGGGGGGGAUCUUCGGACCUCUCGCUAUUGGAGUGGCCGAUGCCUGAUUAGUUUGUUGGUGGGGUAACGGCCUACCAAGACUACGAUCAGUAGCUGGUCUGAGAGGACGAUCAGCCACACUGGGACUGAGACACGGCCCAGACUCCUACGGGAGGCAGCAGUGGGGAAUCUUGGACAAUGGGCGAAAGCCUGAUCCAGCAAUGCCGCGUGUGCGAUGAAGGCUUUCGGGUUGUAAAGCACUUUUAUCAGGGAAGAAAUGGUUCGGGCCAAUACCUCGGACUUCUGACGGUACC
rnacentral:rRNA from 1 species